rnacentral:rRNA from 1 species
UACGGGGGGGGCAAGCGUUGUUCGGAAUUACUGGGCGUAAAGGGCUCGUAGGCGGCCAACUAAGUCGGACGUGAAAUCCCUCGGCUUAACCGGGGAACUGCGUCCGAUACUGGAUGGCUAGAGUUUGGGAGAGGGAUGCGGAAUUCCAGGUGUAGCGGUGAAAUGCGUAGAUAUCUGGAGGAACACCGGUGGCGAAGGCGGCAUCCUGGACCAACACUGACACUGAGGAGCGAAAGCCAGGGGAGCAAACGGG